rnacentral:piRNA from 1 species
AAGAAAUUCAAUGAAGCGCAGGUAAA